rnacentral:rRNA from 1 species
GAUGAACGCUGGCGGCGUGCCUAAUACAUGCAAGUCGAGCGAACAGACGAGAGUGCUUGCACUCUCUGACGUUAGCGGCGGACGGGUGAGUAACACGUGGGUAACCUACCUAUAAGACUGGGAUAACUUCGGGAAACCGGAGCUAAUACCGGAUAAUAUUUAGCUUCGCAUGACGCAAUAGUGAAAGACGGUUCUGCUGUCACUUAUAGAUGGACCCGCGGUGUAUUAGCUAGUUGGUGAGGUAACGGCUCACCAAGGCAACGAUACAUAGCCGACCUGAGAGGGUGAUCGGCCACACUGGAACUGAGACACGGCCCAGACUCCUACGGGAGGCAGCAGUAGGGAAUCUUCCGCAAUGGACGAAAGUCUGACGGAGCAAUGCCGCGUGAGUGAAGAAGGUUUUCGGAUCGUAAAACUCUGUUGUAAGGGAAGAACAAGUACGUUAGUAACUGAACGUACCUUGACGGUACCUUACCAGAAAGCCACGGCUAACUACGUG